GUAGGGAAUCUUGCGCAAUGGGCGAAAGCCUGACGCAGCCAUGCCGCGUGAAUGAUGAAGGCCUUAGGGUUGUAAAGCUCUUUCAGUGGGGACGAUAAUGACGGUACCCACAGAAGAAGCCCCGGCUAACUUCGUGCCAGCAGCCGCGGUAAUACGAAGGGGGCUAGCGUUGUUCGGAAUUACUGGGCGUAAAGCGCACGUAGGCGGACAUUUAAGUCAGGGGUGAAAUCCCGGGGCUCAACCCCGGAACUGCCGUUGAUACUGGGUGUCUGGAGUAUGGAAGAGGUAAGUGGAAUUCCGAGUGUAGAGGUGAAAUUCGUAGAUAUUCGGAGGAACACCAGUGGCGAAGGCGGCUUACUGGUCCAUUACUGACGCUGAGGUGCGAAAGCGUGGGGAGCAAACAGGAUUAGAUACCCGGGUAGUCC
rnacentral:rRNA from 1 species